rnacentral:rRNA from 1 species
CGGCGGACGGGUGAGUAACACGUGGAUAACCUACCCAUAAGACUGGGAUAACUUCGGGAAACCGGAGCUAAUACCGGAUAAUAUAUUGAACCGCAUGGUUCAAUAGUGAAAGACGGUUUUGCUGUCACUUAUAGAUGGAUCCGCGCCGCAUUAGCUAGUUGGUAAGGUAACGGCUUACCAAGGCAACGAUGCGUAGCCGACCUGAGAGGGUGAUCGGCCACACUGGAACUGAGACACGGUCCAGACUCCUACGGGAGGCAGCAGCC